rnacentral:tRNA from 1 species
ACCUGAGUGGCUCAGCCGAUUGAGCAUCUGACUUCGGCUCAGGUCAUGAUCUCACAGUUUGUGAGUUCAAGCCCCACAUCAGGCU